AGGGGUGUAGCUCAGGUAGGUAGAGCAGCGGUCUCCAAAACCGUGUGUCGCAGGUUCGAGUCCUGCCACCCCUG
rnacentral:tRNA from 1 species